GAGUCUCUGUCUGGGUUCCUGAAAAAGCAGCCAGGGAAGGCCAGAGGAGGUGAAAAGGGAAGUCUCCCUCUCAGACCCAAGGCCUUUGCAUCCUCUUCUGGGGAAAAGGUGCUGUGGUGAAGAGAUCGCUACGGUUAACAGCCGCAGUCGACUCUGAGUAGAGAUCAUCCUCCAUCUGUGGGCAGCCUCAUCCAAUCUGCGGGAGGCCUUAUGAGCAAAAGCUGAGAAGAAAUUCUGACUCAAGACUGUGCUGUCAAAGCCUGUCUGAGCGCCCAGCUCGCUGGCCUGCCUACAGAUGUGAGACUUGCCACCCCCCACAAUUGGGUGAGCCAAUUCCUUAUAAUAAAUUCCUGUAUGUGUA